GACGAACGCUGGCGGCGUGCUUAACACAUGCAAGUCGAACGGAAAGGCCCUGCUGUUGUGGGGUGCUCGAGUGGCGAACGGGUGAGUAACACGUGAGUAACCUGCCCUUGACUUUGGGAUAACUUCAGGAAACUGGGGCUAAUACCGGAUAGGAGCUCCUGCUGCAGGGUGGGGGUUGGAAAGUUUCGGCGGUUGGGGAUGGACUCGCGGCUUAUCAGCUUGUUGGUGGGGUAGUGGCUUACCAAGGCUUUGACGGGUAGCCGGCAUGAGAGGGUGACCGGCCACAUUGGGCCUGCGAUACGGCGCAGUCUCCUACGGGAGGCAGCAGUGGGGAAUCUUGCCCAGUGGGCGGAAGCGUGAUGCAGCAACGCCGCGUGCGGGAUGACGGCCUUCGGGUUGUAAACCGCUUUCGCCUGUGACGAAGAGUGAGUGACGGUAAUGGGUAAAGAAGCACCGGCUAACUACGUG
rnacentral:rRNA from 1 species